CCUACGGGAGACAGCAGUGGGGAAUAUUGGGCAAUGGGCGCAAGCCUGACCCAGCAACGCCGCGUGAAGGAAGAAGGCUUUCGGGUUGUAAACUUCUUUUGUCAGGGAAGAGUAGAAGACGGUACCUGACGAAUAAGCCACGGCUAACUACGUGCCAGCAGCCGCGGUAAUACGUAGGUGGCAAGCGUUGUCCGGAUUUACUGGGUGUAAAGGGCGUGUAGCCGGGUUGACAAGUCAGAUGUGAAAUCCUGCGGCUUAACCGCAGAACUGCAGUUGAAACUGUUGAUCUUGAGUACUGGAGAGGCAGACGGAAUUCCUAGUGUAGCGGUGAAAUGCGUAGAUAUUAGGAGGAACACCAGUGGCGAAGGCGGUCUGCUGGACAGCAACUGACGGUGAGGCGCGAAAGCGUGGGGAGCAAACAGGAUUAGAUACCCCAGUAGUC
rnacentral:rRNA from 1 species